GAUGAAGAACGUAGCGAAAUGCGAUAAGUAAUGUGAAUUGCAGAAUUCAGUGAAUCAUCGAAUCUUUGAACGCACCUUGCACUCCUUGGUAUUCCGAGGAGUACGCCUGUUCGAGUGUUAUGAAGCUCUCAAAACGCAAUUGGCUUAAAACCUGAUUGUUGUUUUGGAUUUGCACUUUGCCGUGUUAUAACGGCUGGUUUUAAAAGUAUUAGCUGGUACUAGAACGAAUUGGUUCUACUCAACGUGAUAAUUAUCUGAUCGUUGAGGACAUUCCUUUCACGAGGAAUGGCCAUAGUAAAUUCAAUGGACUGCUUCUAAUCUGGCUUUAAUUCUUUAUUGGAUUAACCACUUUUCAAAUCUGACCUCGAAUCAGGUGGGACUACCCGCUGAACUUAAGCAUAUCAAUAAGCGGAGGA
rnacentral:misc_RNA from 1 species